rnacentral:rRNA from 1 species
GACGAACGCUGGCGGCGUGCCUAAUACAUGCAAGUCGAACGCAGUGGGGACGGGUGAGUAACACGUGGGUAACCUCCCAUCAGAGGGGAUAACACUUGGAAACAGGUGCUAAACCGCUACUGAUGGAUGGACCCGCGGUGCAUUAGCUAGGUGGUGGGGUAACGGCCCACCAAGGCCACGAUGCAUAGCCGACCUGAGAGGGUGAUCGGCCACACUGGGAAUGAGACACGGCCCAGAAUCCUACGGGAGGCAGGAGUAGGGAAUCUUCGGAAAUGGACGAAAGGCUGACCGAGCCACGCCGGGGGAGUGAAGAAGGUUUUCGGAUCAUAAAACUCUGUUGUUAGAGAAGCGGUAUCUAACCAAAAAGCCACGGCUAACUACGUGCCAGCAGCCGCGGUAAUUC